rnacentral:ncRNA from 1 species
GAUAAAACGAAGACGGGAACAGUACAUCAGAUUAUACUUUUUGUAGCGAGCCGGGGAAGGUGGGAGUCCGGUAAAAGAAUCUGGAUGGAAGAUCAUCCCUGAGUCUGCUUUUGAACCCAGCUUGGCUGGCAGUAAAUAGCGGCGAGUCAUUCACGUUACGAAUACCAAGAGGAAUAUUGUCAGGCAAUAUUCUAAAAGGGUGGUACCGCGGAAAUAUAGCCUUUUCGUCCCUUUA